AAGCUUUUUCUUAACCUCGGCAUUGCCUAUAUUACGAGAUGCCGGAUUCGUCCGGCUAUGGCGAUAAACGGUCACCGUAAUAAGCUCAUCGGACCCGGGGGCGGUACCCGGCGCCUCCACCCCAGGGGCCAGGUCUAAAGGGACCAGUCUAAGGGACCCGUCUGGGGGACCAGUUUGGGGGACCAGUCUGGGGGACGGGGAUCAGGACUUGGGAUCAAGGCUCAGACGACCCUAAUCCCACGGCCUAUCCCCAAUCCCUGAACCUGACCCUUGAGGUGGGGGCGAAAUAGGAUCGACGAGGGUGUAAAGGGUGAACUUUCGCUCGGCAUGAUACCGCCGUUAUCGGGUCAACAGAAUAGUUGCCAACG
rnacentral:tmRNA from 1 species